rnacentral:sRNA from 1 species
AAAGCUUGAAACUGAAUUACUGGAUGGAAAAACCAAGCUAAUAUUGUCUCCAUAUGAACAUAAAUCAAAAAUUUCUGUGAAGUGUCUUAAAGUCUUUGCUUGUCUGUGGAUAGAACCCAGUUUGGAUGAUGUACCACUUUACCCUUCAACUCUAAGCCCUUGAUGGCUUUACUUGCAGGUUUAAUUAAGGUGAAGAAGUUGCUGGAGUACCCAAAAUAUCACUCAAUAAAUAGAUGAAGAUGAUCAGAACAAUUCCACAAACUACAUAUAAAAAUUGUUUCUCUUUCUCUAUCAUAUAGUUAUAUACCAUGUAUGCUCCCCAAUCACAGACUACAGAUUGUAUGUUAUUCCUACCCCUUUCCCUAUUAAAAAUUGCAACUAACUGCUGUUAUUUGAAACACAUUCACAAAUACAGUGGCCUUUAUCAAGUUCCUAGAUGAAAA